rnacentral:lncRNA from 1 species
CUAUUUUAUCACUCAGCUUUGGCUUUGAGUAAAUUUGCAUACCAUACCCAUUUGAGGGAGCUGUGUUUCUCCUGAAACACACAAACCAAAAGCACAGAGAGAAGAAUUUGGUGAAACUUUCUUUAGAUUCAGUUUAAUUUCCCUCUUCAGUGGAAGGUUAUAAUGACCAAUGGGCAACGAGUUUGAUCUUUGAUUUAGAACUAUUUAUUCCCCAAGGAUGGCUGCUAGGAGACAGAAGAAAACACAGGAAGAAGGAAAAGAUCCAAAAUGGGAUCCAAGCCAGGGGGCCAAAGAAAUUUCUCCACUUCUCAACAUUGCUGAGAUCUAGCCUGGGGUGUGGAAUUUGUGGCCAGAAACCUUCCUGUCAAUUCAAGCAGGUGAAUCCUGCCAGAGCAGAGGCAGCUCGAGGCACAAACCAGCUGGAUAAAAACGUUUGCUUGGACUCUUGUACAGGACAUUAAAUAGAAAACAGAAUACAUUUGUCCAGAUUUGAGAACUUGAUAUGGACAUGAG